rnacentral:rRNA from 1 species
AUUGAACGCUGGCGGCAUGCCUUACACAUGCAAGUCGAACGGCAGCACGGGUGCUUGCACCUGGUGGCGAGUGGCGAACGGGUGAGUAAUACAUCGGAACAUGUCCUGUAGUGGGGGAUAGCCCGGCGAAAGCCGGAUUAAUACCGCAUACGAUCUACGGAUGAAAGCGGGGGACCUUCGGGCCUCGCGCUAUAGGGUUGGCCGAUGGCUGAUUAGCUAGUUGGUGGGGUAAAGGCCUACCAAGGCGACGAUCAGUAGCUGGUCUGAGAGGACGACCAGCCACACUGGGACUGAGACACGGCCCAGACUCCUACGGGAGGCAGCAGUGGGGAAUUUUGGACAAUGGGCGAAAGCCUGAUCCAGCAAUGCCGCGUGUGUGAAGAAGGCCUUCGGGUUGUAAAGCACUUUUGUCCGGAAAGAAAUCCUUGGCCCUAAUACGGUCGGGGGAUGACGGUACCGGAAGAAUAAGCGCCGGCUAACUACGUG